rnacentral:rRNA from 1 species
GCUCGUAGUUGGAUUCCUGGCACGGGGUAGCCGGUCCGCCUGUAACAGGGUGCGUACUGUGCGACCUCGGCCAUUUUUGGAGAGAGCGGUCCUGGCAUUCAGUUGUCGGGGUCGGGAUCUCCGACGUUUACUGUGAAAAAAUCAGAGUGUUCAACGCAGGCUUACGCCUUGAAUACAUUAGCAUGGAAUAAUGAGAUAGGACUUUGGCGGUCUAUUUUGUUGGUUUGCACGCCGAAGUAAUGAUUAACAGGGACGGUUGGGGUUCUUCGUAUUCAAUUGUCAGAGGUGAAAUUCUUGGAUUUAUGGAAGACGAACUGCUGCGAAAGCGUCGAACAAGGACGUUCUCAUUAAUCAAGAACGAAAGUUAGGGGAUCGAAGAUGAUUAGAUACCAUCGUAGUCUUAACCAUAAACUAUGCCGAUUCAGGAUCCGCGGUCGUUUGUUCUCGACCUCGUGGGCACUGUAUGUGAAAACAAAAUCUUUGGGUUCCGGGGGGAGUAUGGUCGCAAGGCUGAAACUUAAAGAAAUUGACGGAAGGGCACCACCAGGAGUGGAGCCUGCGGCUUAAUUUGACUCAACACGGGGAAACUUACCAGGUCCAGACAAAGUAAGGAUUGACAGAUUGAGAGCUCUUUCUUGAUUCUUUGGGUGGUGGUGCAUGGCCGUUCUUAGUUGGUGGAGUGAUUUGUCUGGUUAAUUCCGUUAACGAACG